GACGAACGCUGGCGGCGUGCUUAACACAUGCAAGUCGAACGAUGAAGCCGGAGCUUGCUCCGGUGGAUUAGUGGCGAACGGGUGAGUAACACGUGAGCAAUCUGCCCUUGACUCUGGGAUAACUGCGGGAAACUGUAGCUAAUACCGGAUACGACACCUUGGGGCAUCCCAGGGUGUGGAAAGAAUUUCGAUCAAGGAUGAGCUCGUGGCCUAUCAGCUAGUUGGUGAGGUAAUGGCUCACCAAGGCGACGACGGGUAGCCGGCCUGAGAGGGUGACCGGCCACAAUAGAACUGAGACACUGUCCAGACUACUAGGGGAGGCAGCAGUGGGGAAUAUUGCACAAUGGGCGAAAGCCUGAUGCAGCAACGCCGCGUGAGGGAUGAAGGCCUUCGGGUUGUAAACCUCUUUUAGCAGGGAAGAAGCGAAAGUGACGGUACCUGCAGAAAAAGCACCGGCUAACUACGUGCCAGCCGCCGCAGUAA
rnacentral:rRNA from 1 species